rnacentral:rRNA from 1 species
UACGAAGGGGGCUAGCGUUGCUCGGAAUUACUGGGCGUAAAGGGCUCGUAGGCGGCCAACUAAGUCAGACGUGAAAUCCCUCGGCUUAACCGGGGAACUGCGUCUGGUACUGGAUGGCUUGAGUUUGGGAGAGGGAUGCGGAAUUCCAGGUGUAGCGGUGAAAUGCGUAGAUAUCUGGAGGAACACCGGUGGCGAAGGCGGCAUCCUGGACCAACACUGACGCUGAGGAGCGAAAGCCAGGGGAGCAAACGGG